AGUGAACGCUGGCGGUAGGCCUAACACAUGCAAGUCGAACGGCAGCACAGGAGAGCUUGCUCUCUGGGUGGCGAGUGGCGGACGGGUGAGGAAUACAUCGGAAUCUACUUUUUCGUGGGGGAUAACGUAGGGAAACUUACGCUAAUACCGCAUACGACCUACGGGUGAAAGCAGGGGACCUUCGGGCCUUGCGCGAUUGAAUGAGCCGAUGUAGGAUUAGCUAGUUGGCGGGGUAAAGGCCCACCAAGGCGACGAUCCGUAGCUGGUCUGAGAGGAUGGUCGGCAACACUGGAACUGAGACACGGGCCAGACUCCUACGGGAGGCAGCAGUGGGGAAUAUUGGACAAUGGGCGCAAGCCUGAUCCAGCCAUACCGCGUGGGUGAAGAAGGCCUUCGGGUUGUAAAGCCCUUUUGUUGGGAAAGAAAUCCAGCUGGCUAAUACCCGGUUGGGAUGACGGUACCCAAAGAAUAAGCACCGGCUAACUUCGUGCCAGCCGCCGCAGUAA
rnacentral:rRNA from 1 species